CCUGGCUCAGGAUGAACGCUAGCUACAGGCUUAACACAUGCAAGUCGAGGGGCAGCACAGUGUAGCAAUACACGGGUGGCGACCGGCGCACGGGUGCGUAACGCGUAUCCAACCUUCCCGUUACUCAGGGAUAGCCUUCCGAAAAGGGAGAUUAAUACCUGAUGGUGUUGAAAUUCCGCAUGUUAUUUCAACUAAAGAUUUAUCGGUAACGGAUGGGGAUGCGUGACAUUAGGUAGAUGGCGGGGUAACGGCCCACCAUGCCUACGAUGUCUAGGGGUUCUGAGAGGAAGGUCCCCCACACUGGAACUGAGACACGGUCCAGACUCCUACGGGAGGCAGCAGUGAGGAAUAUUGGUCAAUGGUCGGAAGACUGAACCAGCCAAGUAGCGUGAAGGAUGAAGGUUCUAUGGAUUGUAAACUUCUUUUAUAUAGGAAUAAAACCUCCCACGUGUGGGAGCUUGUAUGUACUAUAUGAAUAAGCAUCGGCUAACUCCGUG
rnacentral:rRNA from 1 species